rnacentral:rRNA from 1 species
ACGGCUCAGUAACACGUGGACAACCUGCCCUUAGGUUGGGUAUAAACCCGGGAAACUGGGUAUAAUACCCGAUAGGUCUCGAUUGCUGGAAUGCAUCGAGAUUUAAAGCUCCGGCGCCUAAGGAUGGGUCUGCGGCCUAUCAGGUAGUAGUGGGUGUAGCGUACCUACUAGCCUACGACGGGUACGGGUUGUGAGAGCAAGAGCCCGGAGAUGGAUUCUGAGACACGAAUCCAGGCCCUACGGGGUGCAGCAGGCGCGAAAACUUUACAAUGCUGGCAACAGCGAUAAGGGAACCUCGAGUGCCAGGUUACAAAUCUGGCUGUCGAGAUGCCUAAAAAGCAUUUCAUAGCAAGGGCCGGGCAAGACCGGUGCCAGCCGCCGCGGUAACACCGGCGGCUCGGGUGGUAACCGUUAUUAUUGGGUCUAAAGGGUCUGUAGCCGGCCGGAUAAGUCUCUUGAGAAAUCUGGCAGCUUAACUGUCAGGCUUUCAGGAGAUACUGUCUGGCUCGAGGCCGGGAGAGGUGAGAGGUACUUCAGGGGUAGGGGUGAAAUCUUGUAAUCCUUGAAGGACCACCAGUGGCGAAGGCGUCUCACCAGAACGGACCUGACGGCAAGGGACGAAAGCUAGGGGCACGAACCGGAUUAGAUACCCGGGUAGUCCUAGCCGUAAACGAUACUCGCUAGGUGUCGGCCACGGUGCGACCGUUGUCGGUGCCGUAGGGAAGCCGUGAAGCGAGCCACCUGGGAAGUACGGCCGCAAGGCUGAAACUUAAAGGAAUUGGCGGGGGAGCAC